GUCGAAGGGAGUGCGCGCUUUUCGAGGCAAUUUUCCCGAGCCAAUGCAUUUGGAAAAGUCGAGCCAUCGGCUCCGUGUGCAGUGCUUACGGAAAAGCUCUCGAAGUAACCGAAAAAGCUCGGUAGGGAAAGCUUGCGCCGCUUUCGCAGAUGCAACUUGAUGCCAAGUCAAGCUGCACCUACUUCCUACGCUCAAAAUGGCGGCUCUGUCGGCGGAAUGCCGAUAAAUCAAAGUUCCUCAUUUUAAAAAUGCCAAGUGACCAACGCGCCAUCACACAGCAGCGGGCACACUAAUAGGGCUGGCACUUUUCCUUGACAUUUAUGUAUGCACGCUGGUGAAAUUAGUCAUUGCAAUUGAUUAUCUUCCAUAAAAGAGGAGUAAAUCUUCGAUGGAGUAAUAGCCAAUUAGAAGUAACAUGACGAUAAGAAUGCCACUCAAUCAUCAACAAAGUAGUCGUGUUAAAGCGACUUAUCCUGUCAUGUAUACAUUUCCCUGAAAUCGCCAGCCUUAAAGGGAUGCGACCCGAGCUACUCAGCCAGCGAAAAGUAAUUGUAACCCGAUCCUGUGUCGCUGGAUGUACAUAAAUACCAGUUCCAGUUUCCGUCGAUCGCGUCCAAGUUCAUUGGGAGUAUGGAGUAUGGAGUGUGGAGUUUGGAGUGGGGAAUGGGCGAUGUCCGGCCUGACGUUUAUGAAAAGCCAUCGCAGCAUCAAAGCCAAUUAAGAUACCGGGGCACAUACAAGCCCUAAAGGAAUACGCGGCUAAUUUCUGCGACAAAGCCGACAAACGAUCGAGUUCGAGUUCGAGUUGGAGUCUUGGGGCACAAGAAGCGGCACUUUUGUCGCAACACACAGGCCGUAAAAUUAAGAACUCUGAUUGGUAACAAAUGUUUUUGUUCAUUCGAGUGAUAAAAACGUAGCGAACCGAAAA